ACGGGGUGCUGAUAAACAUACACAACGUCAUUCAGGAUGAGGUGUACAGGCUGAGAAAAUACCCGUCGAACCUGAUCCGGAUAACGCCGGCGAAGGGAUUUGAG
rnacentral:ncRNA from 1 species